CCAACGAAGCCGAAGCGGCAUCACGUGUAUCUUCCCACAGAGGCCGCGUGCUUUCGGGCUCUCUAGCCGUUUUUUUUUUGGUCGACUUGGGCUUGUCUCCUCCGCGCGUGCGUGUGCUGGAGCCCCGCUGCCGCACUUCCUCCGCCUCUCCAACGCGAACUAAACAUACGCAAGCCGCACUGCCUGUUCUGACUCUGUCUCGCCUCUUUCCCCAUUCCACCUCUAGCGCGCGCGCACACACACACACACACACAGACGUGCACGAGCGCCUUUCCGUGCCAUGGAUGUGGACAGCGAGGUGGAGCCGCUGCUGCGGGAGAUGUCGAAGCGACUGGCCGUCGUGCGCGCCGAUCUCCUGCCAGCACUGCGGCGGCUGGACGAGGACACGCUUCUUUCGCACUACUCCGUUGAUGAGCAGGCGCGCCUGUAUCUCUCUGCUGCCUUUACCUUGACGCUGUCCCUCUACUCGCUGGACAAGAUCACCCAUCGACAGGUGGCAUCCGGGGGCGGCGCGGCUGCAUCCGCCAUGGCAGCCUCGACCUCAUUGUCGUCGGCUUCCACAGACACGCAGCUGGCGCUGAAGAUCGAGCGCAUUACGGAGUACAUCAAGAAGUUGCAGGAGCUCGUAAAACUGGAAAGGCAGAGGAGGAGUGCGGCCACCGCCGCGGCUUCUGCGGCUGAUGCGCCGGCUGGCAUUGUCGCUGCCACUACUCCCGGUGCUAAGCGUUCACGUAAGGGUGCUUCGGCCGAUACUGCCUCCACUGCCGCCAUCGCUGCUGAGCAGCCUGCGAAGAAGGCGAGAAAUGAGAACGGCGCGAGCGUCGCGACGGUGCCUUCGCGCGACGAAGAGGAUGCCUUUGGCGAUGCGCAGAUGUUCAGCGUCGUGUCGCGGGUGGCGGGCGAGACAGGAACGCUGGUGAGCCGCUUGGUGAAGCAGGCCAUGCCAUCCUCCGCGUUAGCCGCGAGCAAGGCCGAGUAGGGCGCGCACUCUCUGCAGUAGCUGAAGCAUGCCGUCGCCUCGUCGGCCCUCUUCCGGGCGAUACUCGGACAGGCACAUGUAAGAGGAAAGGGGGUACGGAGUCAUGAACUCCACCCUUAAACCACCCGCCUUUACCGCCCCCCUGCCUCCCCUGCCGACCGUCUCCCACACCCUCACUCCGCCUUCCACUGUCUUGCGCCACGCAGCACUUCGUUCGUUGACAGUGGGAGCGGGGAGGCGGAUGUGGAAGCAGUGUGUCGAAGCGCAUCUCAUGAUGUCGGAUAGCGGAGAGAGUGGGGAGGCGUGACGUGCAAGGGCGGGCGGGUGCGCAGCGCCCACUAAACCGUUAAGUCGAGGAUACGGCGGCAACGGGUGUAUGCCACGACGUUACAUAAGGAUGGGAAAGGAAAGGUGCACGCGCCAAGAGAAAACGAACGCAGGACACAUCGACUGAAUCAAGGUUAUUGUGCCUGCCAGCGCGUGCGUGCGUGCGGGCGGGCGUGUGCAUAUGUGUGUGUGUGUGCUGCACUCGCGCGGCACCUUUUCUGUCUCCCCCCCCCACCC
rnacentral:misc_RNA from 1 species